UAAAAUACUUUUAGAAAUAGGUAAAUUCUCUUGGUUUUAACACAUUUAUUUUAUUAGGGAGUAAGAUAUAUACAAUAUUAAAACAGUCUCAAAAGGUUAGUACAAGAUGGUGCAGCAUAUAUUACGUAACUGCACAAGGGCGUUUUCACUUUCAUCGAAUGCUCUGGGAAGACUCAGCGGGAAAACUGCCAUAGUCACGGCCUCCACUGAUGGCAUUGGGUUUGCGAUUGCCCAGAAAAUGGGCCAAGAUGGUGCACAUGUUGUUAUUAGCAGCAGAAGACAAACAAACAUUGAUAAGGCUGUUGAACAGCUAAAGGAACAGAAUCUAAGUGCAUCUGGUAUGGUAUGUCAUGUUGGGAAGACUGAAGACCGAUUAAAUUUGCUUGAAAAGGUAAAAAAUGAACACGGAAGAGCUGAUAUACUCGUAUGCAAUGCAGCUGUAAACCCAUACUUUGGCCCUAUGUUAGAAACACCUGAAAACGCUGUUGAAAAAAUAUUGGACGUGAAUGUAAAAUCUACAUUCAUGCUCAUUAAAGAAGCAUUACCAUUGCUAAAGGCAGGAAAUAACUCAUCUGUGCUUAUUGUAUCUUCUAUUGCAGCCUACCAUUCAAUGGACCUACUCGGAAUGUAUUCUGUAAGUAAAACUGCUCUUGUAGGAUUAACCAAAGGUCUUGCUCCUGAACUUGGGAAAAUGAACAUCCGAAUCAAUUGCCUUGCUCCCGGGAUCAUUAAAACGAAGUUCAGCAGUGCUCUGUGGAAGAAUCCUGCAGCGGAGGAGCAGAUUGUAAAGCAGGUGGCUCUCGGAAGAAUUGGUCAUCCGGAAGAUUGCGGAAAUGCAGCUGCUCAUCUUUGUUCUGAUGAAGCUUCCUAUACAACAGGAGAGUGUGUCGUCGUUGCUGGAGGAAUGGCUUCAAGACUAUAAGCAAAAAUACUUUAAUUUAUAUGUAUAUUAUCGAUCAGGGCCUUUAUGUUUAUUGUUUUGCUAAAUAGUUCCUAAUUUAUUCAGUACUUUAUAUGUGCUACCUGCUGUAUGAAUGUAUAUGCUAUAAAAUGUGCUGCAAAAUACGAUGUAUAAAUAAUUUUAGAGU